rnacentral:lncRNA from 1 species
AAUGAUCAGAUUGUCCCCUUUUAUAACUGAAACCUUAGGGCGACAUCAAAUUCUUUGUUUUCCUUUGAGUCCCUUAUCCAUUUUUCAGUUUUGCCUAAAUGCACCUUGGUUUUCUGACUUGCGCCUCAAGUUUUGAGGCAGAAAUAAUACUUAGACCCCUCACUAGAUAUUCUAGGGGUUUGCUAUAAGAUUCCCUAUAUUCAAAUGCCCUUAAUACCCCUGUCCCUUUUCCUGAUUAUUGGCCUAGGGGUUUCUAACCUUGGUUCUCAUCUAUUUGGUCAGAAAUUGACCCUACUUAGUUAUUUCAGGUUAUAGACCAAAAUCAAAGUCUGAAUUACAUAAUCAAUGCAACUCAUGGAUUCAAGCAAAUAUCUCAAUGUGGAUUUUACACUACUCAGUAACAAGGAUGAAACCAAUUAUCGUAACUUUCAGAAUCAUAUGGAUACUCAUGAAAAUUAGAUACCUAAUGGGUAGGCAUGCAUGUUUUUACGUGACAAAACUAAUGAACCAAAAGAAUUAGAAAAGAAACCCAAGCAACUAUGCAGGAAUUAUAAGGAUGACCAAAUUACAACACUCAGCAGAAAACUAAAGGCAAUUAAAGUAAUGGGUAACGAAGAUUAAACACUCAGGAUAAAUAUAAAUAAAAACCCAAGAAAUUAAAACAAGACUAGUAUAAGAAGUUAAAACAUUCAGAAAGGAAAUAAAUAAACUUAGCCUAACAAAUGCAAAUACAGAAGAUCAAGAAUAACUAGAAAAAGAACCAUGACAAGUAUAAGACUCUGAAAGGAGAUGACUACUCAGAAUUUUCAAACAUGAUACACUUAGACAAAAAUAAAAACAAGAAGAUCAACAAAGAUGAGCAACCACUCAGAAUUUUCCAGAGAUGGACAAAUGAAAAUUCAGGAGACAAGGAUGAACAUGGGAACAAACUACUAAGGAAGAUCUUGGAGGUGAAACAUAGAAGACAAAUGAAGUCGAUCCAGUAACACUAAAGAAAACCAAAAGAAUAGAAGGCAAAAGACUAUAAAAGGAGACGCCUACUCAUAAUUUUCAAACAUGAUAUAAAAACAAAGAAGAUCAACAAAGAUGAGCAUUUAACAACCAUUUAGAAUUUUCAGAGAUGAACAAAUGAAAAUUCAAGAGGCAGGGACGAACAUGGGAACAAACUACUCAGGAAGAUCCUGAAGGUGAAACAUAGAAGAUAAAUGAACUCGAACCAGUAACACUAAAGAAAAUCAAACGAAACAGAAGGCAAGGAUGAACAUAUGACCACUCAGAAUAUUUGGAGACGAAAAGAUAAAAAACAAACAAACCUAAACAAAGGAAAACCAAAGCAAAUAAGAGCAAUUAGAACAGAAAACAUACGAGAUAAAAGCAAUAAAAGCAAAUAAAGGAGAAGGAACUUAGCUUUCUUGCUCGUGCAACCCUAAAAACAAGGUUCUCGAAUUUCCAGAUCUUUGACCUCUUCUAAGAGGUCCUUUGGCCUCCUAAGGUCUUUGCCUCUAAAAAGGGUUUCAGGGGGAUCAAAUUGUUCUGAGA